rnacentral:rRNA from 1 species
AUUGAACGCUGGCGGCAGGCUUAACACAUGCAAGUCGAGCGGAGAUGAGGGGCUUGCACCUUAUCUUAGCGGCGGACGGGUGAGUAAUGCUUAGGAAUCUGCAUAUUUGUGGGGGACAACAUUACGAAAGGAAUGCUAAUACCGCAUACGUUCUACGGGAGCUAGCAGGGGAUCUUCGGACCUUGCGCUCAUAGAUGAGCCUAAGUCGGUUUAGCUAGUUGGUGGGGUAAAGGCCUACCAGGGCGACGGUCUGUAGCGGGUCUGAGAGGAUGAUCCGCCACACUUGGACUGAGACACUGCCCAUACUACUAAGGGAGGCAGCAGUGGGGAAUAUUGGGGAAUGGGGGGAACCCUGAUCCAGCCAUGCCGCGUGUGUGAAGAAGGCCUUAUGGUUGUAAAGCACUUUAAGCGAGGAGGAGGCUACUGAGACUAAUACUCUUGGAUAAUGGACGUUACUCGCAUAAUAAGCACCGGCUAACUCUGUGCCAGCCGCCGCGGUAACAC